CGGCGUGCUUAACACAUGCAAGUCGAACGAGAACGGUUUUCUUCGGAGAACUUAUUAAAGUGGCGCACGGGUGAGUAACGCGUAGAUAAUCUACCUUUAAGAUAGGGAUAACGGACCGAAAGGUCCCCUAAUACCUGAUACGAUCUUUUUAACCUAAGUUAGAAAGAAGAAAGAUGGCCUCUCCUUGGAAGCUAUUGCUUGAAGAUGAGUUUGCGUACCAUUAGCUAGUUGGUGGGGUAAGAGCCUACCAAGGCCACGAUGGUUAGCGGGUCUGAGAGGAUGAUCCGCCACACUGGAACUGAAACACGGACCAGACUCCUACGGGAGGCAGCAGUGAGGAAUUUUGCGCAAUGGGGGAAACCCUGACGCAGCGACGCCGCGUGGACGAUGAAGGCCCUUGGGUUGUAAAGUCCUGUCAGAAGGGAAGAAAUGCAUAUAGGCUAAUACCUUGUAUGUUUGACGGUACCUUCAAAGGAAGCACCGGCUAACUCCGUGCCAGCAGCCGCGGUAAUACGGAGGGUGCAAGCGUUAAUCGGAAUUACUGGGCGUAAAGGGCGCGUAGGCGGCCUAUCAAGUCAGGUGUGAAAUCCCACGGCUCAACCGUGGAGGUGCAUCUGAAACUGCUAGGCUUGAGUAUGGGAGAGGAAAGU
rnacentral:rRNA from 1 species